AUUGAACGCUGGCGGCAUGCCUUACACAUGCAAGUCGAACGGCAGCACGGGAGCAAUCCUGGUGGCGAGUGGCGAACGGGUGAGUAAUAUAUCGGAACGUGCCCGGUCGUGGGGGAUAACGUAGCGAAAGCUACGCUAAUACCGCAUACGAUCUACGGAUGAAAGCGGGGGGAUCGCAAGACCUCGCGCGAUUGGAGCGGCCGAUAUCAGAUUAGGUAGUUGGUGAGGUAAAGGCUCACCAAGCCGACGAUCUGUAGCUGGUCUGAGAGGACGACCAGCCACACUGGGACUGAGACACGGCCCAGACUCCUACGGGAGGCAGCAGUGGGGAAUUUUGGACAAUGGGCGCGAAGCCUGAUCCAGCAAUGCCGCGUGCAGGAUGAAGG
rnacentral:rRNA from 1 species